rnacentral:lncRNA from 1 species
CUAAUUUAUUGUAUUUUGGCAGCUGGAAAUUUAAACAGAUAAAAUUGUUAUAUUUCAGCUCACUGUCUCAAUCCAGCUGGUGGAAUGUGGAAUACUCAUCUGAGGAGUAUCGGGAGUUGGCGAUGCCUUUGGAAGGGAACAUGAAUCUGACUGCUUGAACACUGGCAUUAAUCUUGUUCAACUGAGAAAUAGUGGAGAAGCCUCUUUACUGGGCUUGAGAAUCUACCUUAAGAGCCCUGGGCUGUCUAAUCCUGAAUUGUUUUAUGAGGAAGAAUGUAAACUUAUGUCUUAUCUAAAACACCAUUAUUUUGGUUUUCUAUCAUAUUCACUUAUACAAAUGCCUACUUGUUAUAUACA